AGAGUUUGAUCCUGGCUCAGGAUGAACGCUAGCGGCAGGCUUAACACAUGCAAGUCGGGCGGCAGCGGGGUGGGAGCUUGCUCCCACUGCCGGCGAGCGGCGCACGGGUGAGUAACACGUAUGCAACCUGCCCCUGUCAGGGGGACAACCCGCCGAAAGGCGGGCUAAGCCCGCGUAUAUCGCCCCGGGGCAUCCCGGGGGGAGGAAAGGAGCGAUCCGGACAGGGAUGGGCAUGCGGCGCAUUAGCUGGUCGGCGGGGUAACGGCUCACCGAGGCGACGAUGCGUAGGGGUUCUGAGAGGAAGGCCCCCCACACUGGUACUGAGACACGGACCAGACUCCUACGGGAGGCAGCAGUGAGGAAUAUUGGUCAAUGGGCGGGAGCCUGAACCAGCCAAGCCGCGUGAGGGAAGAAGGUACAGCGUAUCGUAAACCUCUUUUGUCAGGGAACAAAGGCGGGGACUAGUCCCCGGAUGAGGGU
rnacentral:rRNA from 1 species